rnacentral:lncRNA from 1 species
AGAGUGUCUUAGAUUGUGUCUGGUUGGCAGGCCUCCCAGUAGCACAGUAGGUGCCGAGCGGAUCAGAGCAGAAAGGGGAGCAGACCCAGGGCUCACUGCCAUUCUCAGUGGCCUUACAGGCUCUUAGGUUUCCUCUGCUUUGUUCUUUACUGAUGACCCCAGCAAUCAGUCCAUAAGGCCUGCUUUGCCACCUGAUAAAUGACCUGGAGCAACCUUCACGGUAUCUCAGCAUGAAGUAUACUAUUUGCCUUGAAAUAUAAGCAAGUGCCAAUGAUACCCACAGCUGUGCUGAGUAAGGGGUGUUUAUACUCUUUAAGUCAAUCCAUGUAUAGAAAGAGAUGGGGGGGGGAGGGAGAGAAGGAGGGAACGAAAGAGAGGGGGUUAUUUUGACCACACAUCAGUCCACUUGAAAUGUUCUGAGGAUUGCAAGCACCUGUCCCUGUGUGCCUAAGUACCUGUCCUAAGGGACUAACUCCUUCAAUUCUAACUCCCUGGGGAGUCUUAGAGGAAAGGGAGGAACAGAGGGGAUAUAUAUAUAUAUCUCACUGUGUGGCCCCGAUUACCUACCAAGCUGGCUCCUUCAGGCAGAUUUGCAGGCGAAGCAGAGUCUGGGAUGUGGAAUGAGGCAGAGCAAGCUUCUAGCUCUGCCUCCAGCAAU